rnacentral:rRNA from 1 species
AGAGUUUGAUCCUGGCUCAGAUUGAACGCUGGCGGAAUGCUUUACACAUGCAAGUCGAACGGCAGCAUAGGUGCUUGCACCUGAUGGCGAGUGGCGAACGGGUGAGUAAUACAUCGGAACGUGCCCAGUCGUGGGGGAUAACGUAGCGAAAGUUACGCUAAUACCGCAUACGAUCUACGGAUGAAAGCGGGGGACCGUAAGGCCUCGCGCGAUUGGAGCGGCCGAUGUUAGAUUAGGUAGUUGGUGGGGUAAAGGCUCACCAAGCCGACGAUCUAUAGCUGGUCUGAGAGGAUGAUCAGCCACACUGGGACUGAGACACGGCCCAGACUCCUACGGGAGGCAGCAGUGGGGAAUUUUGGACAAUGGGCGCAAGCCUGAUCCAGCCAUUCCGCGUGCAGGACGAAGGCCUUCGGGUUGUAAACUGCUUUUGUACAGAACGAAAAGCCUUGGGUUAAUACCCUGAGGUCAUGACGGUACUGUAAGAAUAAGCACCGGCUAACUACGUGCCAGCAGCCGCGGUAAU